rnacentral:lncRNA from 1 species
ACGCCAGAUUGCCCGCGCAGGCGGCAUAAAGACAUGCCUUGUUGAUCACCGGGCACCCAUGAGCGCGCGCGUACAAGAGACACGCCAGCCGCCCCUCGUCCCCAGUGGCGCUCGGCGCUCGGCCUCCAUCGUACAACGAGCGCAUGCGGCACAAACCCAGGAUGGCAGCCGUGCUUGUGUCAAUGUCCAAUGGGCAGCCGCGCUCCCUCGCAAAGGUAAGCAUGGCAAGGUCGCCAUUCGACGCGGCAUGCGCGCACACCACCCUCGACCACGGGCAGCCGUGAUUGUAGAGGUGGACGAGUGCGUCCAUGUGCCCGCAGCGCGCGGCUGUCAAACACGCGUGCACAUUUCGCGGGCAAUUGUUGUCGGUAAGGUAGGCCAAGAUGUCGAGGCGACCGACCCGUGCAGCAGCGAUCAUCGUGUUGGCGCUCCAUGGGCAGCCGCGGCCGUGCACAUCGAUCAAGACGUUGAGGCGGCCCGCGCGAGCCGCAGCCGUACACGUUCUUUCAUCCCAUAAGCACCCAUGAUCGCGCGCAUAGUCGAGUAUGUCGAUGCGACCGCCGGCCACCGCGGCCUCGCAUGUGUACGCGUCCCACGGGCAGCCCGCCUCGCGCAGGAAGCGUAACGUGUCGAGGUGGCCUCCAGCGGCGGCCUGCAUGCACGCACGGCCAUCCAGUGGAUGACCGUCGGCGAUGAGCAUUUGGAGAAUGGCUACGUGGCCGCCCAACGCUGCAUGGGAGCACACAUCGUUUGACUUGUUUGAUAGACGCGAUGACAGAUAGGCCGCACAUUCAAGAUGACCGGCAUAGGCUGCACAGAUGAGGGCCUUUUCGAUUCUUUUCGGAUCAAGCACAUUGCCGGCGGCGACCUCGACUACGUGGGCGACAAUGGCAGUGCGUCCGUGACGCGCGGCCUCUUCGAGGGCCGCGUGGUGCUCGUCAUACCCUUGACUGUGCACAUGGGCAAGGUUGGCGACGUCGCCGGCGCGUGCCGCCGCACAGGCGAUGCGGCACAGGGGAUCAUGUAGACGCGGUCGCCCAUCCAGAACGAAACGGGUGCAGUCGCGAUGUCCCUCUCCGGCCGCGGCUUCAGCGGCGGCCAAGAGGCGCCUGCCGACGGCCCGCCGGCGAGGCAGCGCGGCACGUGUUGUGCAGUCGACGCGGCCCAUGCUCGCAACGUCCAGGGCUACGCGGCGCCAACGACGGCACACUGCCGCAGCGCGCGUGCGCCGGUCCACACAGACCAAAAACCUGAAACAGUAGACAAGGAUCUCAUCAGGGAGGUGGUUGAUCAUCACAGGCUCAUCGGCCUCGACGACGGCGGUGGUCAUUUUCUUUUUGUGUAAAAAGAUUGCUUGAGCA